GGACGAACGCUGGCGGCGUGCCUAACACAUGCAAGUCGAGCGGUCUGACACUCAGCACUGAGCACUUAACAAAAUAAGGUGUAGAAAGUGAGCCAGCGUCAAGCGAGUGUAAGCGAGCUUCACGCAAAAAAAGCCAACACAUGGUUAAGUGUUGAGUGCUGAGAGUCAGAUAGCGGCGGACGGGUGAGUAACACGUGGGUAACCUGACCUACAGAGGGGGAUAGCCAUCCGAAAGGGUGAUUAAUACCGCAUAAACCGUAGCGUACGCAUGUACGAAACGGCAAAGAGAUAUCGCUGUAGGAGGGGCCCGCGGCCCAUUAGCUGGUUGGAGAGGUAAAGGCUCACCAAGGCGACGAUGGGUAGCCGAUCUGAGAGGAUGACCGGCCACAUUGGAACUGAGACACGGUCCAGACUCCUACGGGAGGCAGCAGUGGGGAAUAUUGCGCAAUGGGGGAAACCCUGACGCAGCAACGCCGCGUGGAGGAAGAAGGCCUUCGGGUCGUAAACUCCUGUCUUUUGGGACGAAAGGAUGACGGUACCAAAGGAGGAAGCCACGGCUAACUACGUGCCAGCAGCCGCGGUAAUACGUAGGUGGCAAGCGUUGUCCGGAAUUACUGGGCAUAAAGGGUGCGUAGGCGGUAUAUUAAGUCAGAUGUGAAAACCCAGGGCUCAACUCUGGGAGUGCAUUUGAAACUGGUAUACUGGAGUGCAGGAGAGGGAAGCGGAAUUCCUGGUGUAGCGGUGAAAUGCGUAGAUAUCAGGAAGAACACCAGUGGCGAAGGCGGCUUUCUGGACUGUAACUGACGCUGAGGCACGAAAGCGUGGGGAGCAAACAGGAUUAGAUACCCUGGUAGUCCACGCUGUAAACGAUGAGUGUUAGGUGUAGGGGGAGAAGUCCUUCUGUGCCGCAGUAAACGCAAUAAACACUCCGCCUGGGGAGUACGGUCGCAAGACUAAAACUCAAAGGAAUUGACGGGGGCCCGCACAAGCAGCGGAGCAUGUGGUUUAAUUCGAAGCAACGCGAAGAACCUUACCAGGGCUUGACAUCUAACGGACUUAGUAGAGAUACUAAGGUGCCUUUCGAGGAACGUUAAGACAGGUGGUGCAUGGUUGUCGUCAGCUCGUGUCGUGAGAUGUUGGGUUAAGUCCCGCAACGAGCGCAACCCUUGUUAUUAGUUGCCAGCAGUAAGAUGGGCACUCUAAUAAGACUGCCGGGGUUAACUCGGAGGAAGGUGGGGAUGACGUCAAAUCAUCAUGCCCCUUAUGUCCUGGCUACACACGUGCUACAAUGGCUUAAACAAAGUGAACCGAAUCCGUAAGGAGGAGGGAAACACGAAAUAAAGUCUCAGUUCGGAUUGAGGGCUGCAACCCGCCCUCAUGAAGCUGGAGUUGCUAGUAAUCGCGAAUCAGAAUGUCGCGGUGAAUACGUUCCCGGGCCUUGUACACACCGCCCGUCACACCAUGAGAGUUGGCAGCACCCGAAGCCUGUGAGAUAACAAUAAAAAGGGUCAGCAGUCGAAGGUGGGGCCGAUGAUUGGGGUGAAGUCGUAACUAGGUAACCCA
rnacentral:rRNA from 1 species